AGAAAUGACUGCUAAUACCGCAUAAGCGCACAGUCUCGCAUGGGACAGUGUGAAAAACUGAGGUGGUGUGAGAUGGAUCCGCGUCUGAUUAGGCAGUUGGCGGGGUAACGGCCCACCAAACCAACGAUCAGUAGCCGGCCUGAGAGGGUGAACGGCCACAUUGGGACUGAGACACGGCCCAAACUCCUACGGGAGGCAGCAGUGGGGAAUAUUGCACAAUGGGGGAAACCCUGAUGCAGCGACGCCGCGUGAAGGAAGAAGUAUUUCGGUAUGUAAACUUCUAUCAGCAGGGAAGAAAGUGACGGUACCUGACUAAGAAGCCCCGGCUAACUACGUGCCAGCAGCCGCGGUAAUACGUAGGGGGCAAGCGUUAUCCGGAUUUACUGGGUGUAAAGGGAGCGUAGGCGGCGAUGCAAGUCAGAAGUGAAAGCCCGGGGCUCAACUCCGGGACUGCUUUUGAAACUGUAUGGCUAGAUUGCAGGAGAGGCAAGUGGAAUUCCUAGUGUAGCGGUGAAAUGCGUAGAUAUUAGGAGGAACACCAGUGGCGAAGGCGGCUUGCUGGACUGUAAAUGACGCUGAGGCUCGAAAGCGUAGGGAGCAAACAGGAUUAGAUACCCUGGUAGUCCACGCCGUAAACGAUGAUCACCAGGUGU
rnacentral:rRNA from 1 species